AAAGCGUGCGCAGGCGGUUAUGUAAGACAGAUGUGAAAUCCCCGGGCUCAACCUGGGAACUGCAUUAGUGACUGCAUAGCUGGAGUACGGCAGAGGGGGAUGGAAUUCCGCGUGUAGCAGUGAAAUGCGUAGAUAUGCGGAGGAACACCGAUGGCGAAGGCAGCCCCCUGGGUCAAAACUGACGCUCAUGCACGAAAGCGUGGGGAGCAAACAGGAUUAGAUACCCUUGU
rnacentral:rRNA from 1 species